AGGACGAACGCUGGCGGCGUGCCUAACACAUGCAAGUUGAGCGACGAACCGGGGCUUGCCCCGGGGCAAAGCAGCGAACGGGUGAGUAACACGUGGAUAACGUACCCCGAUAACCGGGACAACCCGAGGAAACUCGAGCUAAUACCGGAUGUGCCCACCACACAUCAGUGUGGUGUGUAAAGGAAGCUUCGGCCUCCGUAUUGGGAGCGGUCCGCGGCCCAUUAGCUAGUUGGUGAGGUAACGGCUCACCAAGGCAACGAUGGGUAGCUGGUCUGAGAGGACGAUCAGCCACACUGGGACUGAGACACGGCCCAGACUCCUACGGGAGGCAGCAGUAGGGAAUUUUCCACAAUGGGCGAAAGCCUGAUGGAGCAACGCCGCGUGCAGGAUGAAUGUCUUCGGGUUGUAAAGCUCUUUUACCCGGGAUGAUAAUGACAGUACCGGAGAAUAAGCCCGGCUAACUCCGUGCCAGCAGCCGC
rnacentral:rRNA from 1 species